rnacentral:rRNA from 1 species
GACGAACGCUGGCGGCGUGCUUAACACAUGCAAGUCGAGCGGAGCGGCGAACGGGUGAGUAACGCGUGAGUAACUGCCCCCCUCUCUGGGAUAACAGUUGGAAACGGCUGCUAAUACCGGAUAGUGGGGGAUGACUCGCGUCCUAUCAGCUUGUUGGUGGGGUAGUGGCCUGCCAAGGCGACGACUGGUAGCCGGCCUGAGAGGGCGAACGGCCGCAUGUGGCUGAGGGACGGCCCAGACGCCUACGGGAGGCAGUAGGGGGGAAUAUUGCACAAUGGUGCAAACCCUGAGGCAGCAACGCCGCGGGCGGAAUGACGUCCUUGGGGUUGGAAACCGCGUUCGGCCAUGACGCGGUAGUGGCAGAAGAAGCACCGGCUAACUACGUGCCAGCCGCCGCGGUAAUUC